GCCUAAUACAUGCAAGUUGAACGCUUGAUUUUACCGAAGCUUGCUUMCCGAAAAUCAGAGUAGCGAACGGGUGAGUAACGCGUGGGUAACCUACCUAUCAGCGGGGGAUAACUAUUGGAAACGAUAGCUAAUACCGCAUAACAAUGUUGGAUGCAUAUUCGACAUUUGAAAGUACCAACUGGUACACUGAGAGAUGGACCCGCGUUGUAUUAGCUAGUUGGUAGUGUAAUGGACUACCAAGGCGAUGAUACAUAGCCGACCUGAGAGGGUGAUCGGCCACAUUGGGACUGAGACACGGCCCAAACUCCUACGGGAGGCAGCAGUAGGGAAUCUUCGGCAAUGGACGAAAGUCUGACCGAGCAACGCCGCGUGAGUGAAGAAGGUUUUCGGAUCGUAAAACUCUGUUGUUAGAGAAGAACGUUGCAUAGAGUGGAAAAUUAUGCAAGUGACGGUAUCUAACCAGAAAGGGACGGCUAACUACGUGCCAGCAGCCGCGGUAAUACGUAGGUCCCGAGCGUUGUCCGGAUUUAUUGGGCGUAAAGCGAGCGCAGGUGGUUUAAUAAGUCUGAUGUAAAAGGCAGUGGCUCAACCAUUGUGUGCAUUGGAAACUGUUAGACUUGAGUGCAGUAGAGGAGGGUGGAAUUCCAUGUGUAGCGGUGAAAUGCGUAGAUAUAUGGAGGAACACCGGUGGCGAAAGCGGCUCUCUGGACUGUCACUGACACUGAGGCUCGAAAGCGUGGGUAGCAAACAGGAUUAGAUACCCUGGUAGUCCACGCCGUAAACGAUGAGUGCUAGUUGUUUGGGGCUAUCCAGCCCUAAGUGACGCAGCAAACGCAUUAAGCACUCCGCCUGGGGAGUACGACCGCAAGGUUGAAACUCAAAUGAAUUGACGG
rnacentral:rRNA from 1 species